rnacentral:rRNA from 1 species
AACGUAGGACGCAAGCGUUAUCCGGAGUUACUGGGCGUAAAGGGCUCGUAGGCGGCCAACUAAGUCAAACGUGAAAUCCCUCGGCUUAACCGGGGAACUGCGUCUGAAACUGGGUGUCUAGAGUGCGGUAGGGGAGACUGGAAUUCCUGGUGUAGCGGUGAAAUGCGCAGAUAUCAGGAGGAACACCGGUGGCGAAGGCGGGUCUCUGGGCCGUAACUGACGCUGAGGAGCGAAAGCGUGGGGAGCGAACAGG